rnacentral:rRNA from 1 species
UACGUAGGGGGCAAGCGUUGUCCGGAUUUAUUGGGCGUAAAGCGCACGUAGGCGGCUUUGUAAGUUAGAGGUGAAAGCCCGGGGCUCAACUCCGGAACUGCCUUUAAGACUGCAUCGCUUGAAUCCAGGAGAGGUGAGUGGAACUGCGAGUGUAGAGGUGAAAUUCGUAGAUAUUCGCAAGAACACCAGUGGCGAAGGCGGCUCACUGGCCCGGUACUGACGCUGAGGUGCGAAAGCGUGGGGAGCAAACAGG